UAGCUAGUUGGUGGGGUAAGGGCCUACCAAGGCGACGAUCGGUAGCUGGUCUGAGAGGAUGACCAGCCACACUGGAACUGAGACACGGUCCAGACUCCUACGGGAGGCAGCAGUGGGGAAUAUUGGACAAUGGGGGCAACCCUGAUCCAGCAAUGCCGCGUGUGUGAAGAAGGCCUGAGGGUUGUAAAGCACUUUCAGUGGGGAGGAGGGUUGAUAGGUUAAGAGCUAAUUAACUGGACGUUACCCACAGAAGAAGCACCGGCUAACUCCGUGCCAGCAGCCGCGGUAAUACGGAGGGUGCGAGCGUUAAUCGGAAUUACUGGGCGUAAAGGGUGCGUAGGUGGUUGAUUAAGUUAUCUGUGAAAUUCCUGGGCUUAACCUGGGACGGUCAGAUAAUACUGGUUGACUCGAGUAUGGGAGAGGGUAGUGGAAUUUCCGGUGUAGCGGUGAAAUGCGUAGAGAUCGGAAGGAACACCAGUGGCGAAGGCGGCUACCUGGCCUAAUACCGACACUGAGGCACGAAAGCGUGGGGAGCAAACAGGAUUAGAUACCCUGGUAGUCCACGCUGUAAACGAUGUCAACUAGCUGUUGGUUAUAUGAAAAUAAUUAGUGGCGC
rnacentral:rRNA from 1 species